rnacentral:rRNA from 1 species
GAAACUGGGAAUAAUGCCUUAUAAGAUACGUUUGUCGCAUGGCAUUUGUAUUAAACGCUCCGGCGCCAUAGGAUGGACCCGCGUCCCAUUAGCUAGUUGGUGAGAUAACAGCUCACCAAGGCCACGAUGGGUAACCGGUCUGAGAGGGCGAACGGUCACACUGGAACUGAGACACGGUCCAGACUCCUACGGGAGGCAGCAGUGGGGAAUAUUGCGCGAUGGGGGCAACCCUGACGCAGCAAUACCGCGUGAGUGAAGAAGGUUUUCGGAUCGUAAAGCUCUGUUAUUGGGGAAGGAAAAAAGACGGUACCCAAGAAGAAAGUUCCGGCUAACUACGUGCCAGCAGCCGCGGUAAUACGUAGGGAACAAGCGUUGUCCGGAUUUACUGGGCGUAAAGGGCACGCAGGCGGUUUUUUAAGUCAGAUGUGAAAGGCCACAGCUCAACUGUGGACAUGCAUUUGAAACUGAAAGACUUGAGUAUUGGAGAGGCAAGUGGAAUUCCUAGUGUAGCGGUGAAAUGCGUAGAUAUUAGGAGGAACACCGGUGGCGAAGGCGGCUUGCUGGACAA